rnacentral:rRNA from 1 species
GCAAGGUUAACCGUAUAGGGGAGCCGGAGGGAAACCGAGUCUUAACCGGGCGUUAAGUUGCAGGGUAUAGACCCGAAACCCGGUGAUCUAGCCAUGGGCAGGUUGAAGGUUGGGUAACACUAACUGGAGGACCGAACCGACUAAUGUUGAAAAAUUAGCGGAUGACCUGUGGCUGGGGGUGAAAGGCCAAUCAAACCGGGAGAUAGCUGGUUCUCCCCGAAAGCUAUUUAGGUAGCGCCUCGUGAAUUCAUCUCCGGGGGUAGAGCACUGUUUCGGCUAGGGGGCCAUCCCGGCUUACCAACCCGAUGCAAACUGCGAAUACCGGAGAAUGUUAUCACGGGAGACACACGGCGGGUGCUAACGUCCGUCGUGAAGAGGGAAACAACCCAGACCGCCAGCUAAGGUCCCAAAGUCAUGGUUAAGUGGGAAACGAUGUGGGAAGGCCCAGACAGCCAGGAUGUUGGCUUAGAAGCAGCCAUCAUUUAAAGAAAGCGUAAUAGCUCACUGGUCGAGUCGGCCUGCGCGGAAGAUGUAACGGGGCUAAACCAUGCACCGAAGCUGCGGCAGCGAACGUAUCACCCAAGACAACUUUACGGAGUUGACGAUUGACGGAGCGAAGCGACGUCAAAGCGUUCAUUAAAGUCGAGUUGGCUUAGGGAUACGUUCGUUGGGUAGGGGAGCGUUCUGUAAGCCUGUGAAGGUGUGUCGUGAGGCAUGCUGGAGGUAUCAGAAGUGCGAAUGCUGACAUAAGUAACGAUAAAGCGGGUGAAAAGCCCGCUCGCCGGAAGACCAAGGGUUCCUGUCCAACGUUAAUCGGGGCAGGGUGAGUCGACCCCUAAGGCGAGGCCGAAAGGCGUAGUCGAUGGGAAACGGGUUAAUAUUCCCGUACUUGGUGUUACUGCGAAGGGGGGACGGAGAAGGCUAUGUUGGCCGGGCGACGGUUGUCCCGGUUUAAGCGUGUAGGUGUGUGUUCCAGGUAAAUCCGGUUCACUUUAACACUGAGGCGUGACGACGAGGCACUACGGUGCUGAAGCAACAAAUGCCCUGCUUCCAGGAAAAGCCUCUAAGCAUCAGGUAACAUCAAAUCGUACCCCAAACCGACACAGGUGGUCAGGUAGAGAAUACCAAGGCGCUUGAGAGAACUCGGGUGAAGGAACUAGGCAAAAUGGUGCCGUAACUUCGGGAGAAGGCACGCUGACACGUAGGUGAAGUGAUUUACUCACGGAGCUGAAGUCAGUCGAAGAUACCAGCUGGCUGCAACUGUUUAUUAAAAACACAGCACUGUGCAAACACGAAAGUGGACGUAUACGGUGUGACGCCUGCCCGGUGCCGGAAGGUUAAUUGAUGGGGUCAGCGCAAGCGAAGCUCCUGAUCGAAGCCCCGGUAAACGGCGGCCGUAACUAUAACGGUCCUAAGGUAGCGAAAUUCCUUGUCGGGUAAGUUCCGACCUGCACGAAUGGCGUAAUGAUGGCCAGGCUGUCUCCACCCGAGACUCAGUGAAAUUGAACUCGCUGUGAAGAUGCAGUGUACCCGCGGCAAGACGGAAAGACCCCGUGAACCUUUACUAUAGCUUGACACUGAACAUUGAGCCUUGAUGUGUAGGAUAGGUGGGAGGCUUUGAAGUGUGGACGCCAGUCUGCAUGGAGCCGACCUUGAAAUACCACCCUUUAAUGUUUGAUGUUCUAACGUGGACCCGUAAUCCGGGUUGCGGACAGUGUCUGGUGGGUAGUUUGACUGGGGCGGUCUCCUCCUAAAGAGUAACGGAGGAGCACGAAGGUUGGCUAAUCCUGGUCGGACAUCAGGAGGUUAGUGCAAUGGCAUAAGCCAGCUUGACUGCGAGCGUGACGGCGCGAGCAGGUGCGAAAG